rnacentral:tRNA from 1 species
CCCUUCCUGGCGGAACGGCAUACGCGCUGCGCUCAGAACGCAGUGUCCUUGCGGACGUCCCGGUUCGAGUCCGGGGGAAGGGACCA